rnacentral:pre_miRNA from 1 species
UCUUAUGAAUGAGCAAAGUAAGCGGUUUUUUGAGAUGAAGUCUGUUUCUGGUGAGGAUGCUGUGAA